GACAGAGGGGGCAAGCGUUGCUCGGAAUUAUUGGGCGUAAAGCGCUCGUAGGCGGUUUGUCGCGUCUGCCGUGAAAGUCCGGGGCUCAACUCCGGAUCUGCGGUGGGUACGGGCAGACUAGAGUGAUGUAGGGGGAGACUGGAAUUCCUGGUGUAGCGGUGAAAUGCGCAGAUAUCAGGAGGAACACCGAUGGCGAAGGCAGGUCUCUGGGCAUUAACUGACGCUGAGGAGCGAAAGCAUGGGGAGCGAACAGG
rnacentral:rRNA from 1 species